rnacentral:rRNA from 1 species
GCUGACGAGUGGCGAACGGGUGAGUAACACGUAGGUGAUCUGCCCAUUGGUUGGGGAUAUACUGUGGAAACAUAGGGUAAUACCGAAUAGGCUUACCGGACCUUGGUCUGGAGAGCAAAGGGGCUUCGGCCUCGCCAGUGGAUGAGCCUGCGGCUGAUUAGCUAGUUGGUGGGGUAAAGGCCUACCAAGGCGACGAUCAGUAGCCGGCCUGAGAGGGUGAUCGGCCACACUGGGACUGAGAUACGGCCCAGACUCC